UCAACCCAAAUGAUGCCUGGUCGGGGCCUCAGGUGGCACGAUGUGAGCCACAGGGCCUUCAAGGAGUUGGAGUUACCACCACCCAGCACCUAAUCUCGAAAGCGCCUGGCGAACAGGCAGCUGGUUCAUGUCAACAGCGCUCUCAUGUCCUCCUGGAUCAGACAAGGCGCCGAGAAACACCACCGCUCCACAGCCAGUUAAAGAAAAGCAACAAAGCCUCACUUCUGCUUUCUGGUGAGGACAGUGACUCUCUGACGAACUGCGACAGCUAUCCCAUGUACCUUCCAAAGAGUGCCAGCACCACUCCAAGCAUUACCGGGUCCCUCAAUUCACCCAAGGUGACGCUGCUGCGAUCACGCCUCGGUCUGACAGGAGUCAACGAUCUCAGAGUGGUCUCUCAGUAAGGAGCCAGUGCAGCCCCUCCUAUGAGAGACGCGGGCUUCAGCCUCAAGGAAGGCGACUUGGCUAAGUGGCCAUCCAAGGUCACACAACCGGCAACCGAGUGGCAAGGGCUGUAUUUCAGGUUUGGUGACGCCCCACAAGAUGGGUUCCCAUUAGGUCGUCAGGUCUCUCCCUGUAGGCUCCUAAUUAGUGACUGGAAGCCAACAUAUCAACACCCUCUGACGUUAAGCUUCCGGGAGGACAGCUGGACACCCACCGCGAGCCACAUCGGGCACUCUUGCGCCCGCGACCCCAGACCCUGGAAACGCCGGCCUCCACCCCGGCCCUCAAAGUCACCAGCCUGCCUACCGCCGGAAAUGUCACUGGGGCAGUUCACGGUUUUUUUGUGGGUUUUUUUGUGUGUGUGUUUUUUUCUUUAGGAUGAAGGGGCCACAAUCGGACUCCAGAGGGCGAAGCGGGGCGCCAGACAGACGCGCUCCACGCCCUGCCACGAAGUCCUCUAAGGCCGGGCAGGGGCAGGGGCAUGGGCAGCCACACCCGCCGGGCCUGCAGGACCUCAGACCCCACCGGCCCUAGGGAGCCCGGGAGGCCGGUCUCGCGGGUCCCCAGACCCGGGGGAGGCCGGCCCUGCAGACCCCCACACCCGGGGGAGCCCAGCCCCGCAGACCACCCCCAGGCCCCGGGGAGGCCGGCCCUGCAGACCCCCAGGCCCCGGGGAGCCCGGAAGACCAGCUCCGCAGACCCCGAGACCUCGGAAGCCCGGACGCGCAGACCCCCAGACCCCGCCCGGUGCCCCAGGCCGCGCCCCGGCCCCCACCCUGCCCCACCUCCCUCUCCAAGGAACCCCUGCGGCCCGCGGGCCCCGGCCAAGCGCUGCCGCUACCCCGGCCCGCAGACCCCACCUUGAGGGUCGGGUACUCCUGCACCUUCAGGGUCAUGGAAAGCUGAGCAGCUGACUCCUGCACCGCCAUCUUGAAUCGGCCAAAACAUUAGCGGGUGGGGGAAGCGCCGCGCGCGGCACGCCGGGUAGUGACGUCGCGCUCUCCGGCGGGGGCGGGGCGCGCCCGGGCGGGCCGACGCGCCUGCUCCAAUCGCGUCCGCCCACCAGACUGUGGCGGCGGAAGGAGGCGCGACCGCGGCGUGCGCGCGGAGAGGCGUCCGGCCGGACCAAUCACCUCUGGCCCUCCUCGCGUUCGGCCAAUCAGCGGGAAGCCUGUCUGGGCGGGUUCCUCCUUGAACUCGCGGCCGGGGAUGCUCCCGCCGAUCCCAGCCUCUGGGCGCUGGCGGUCCGGGGCGCUCCCUGGGGUCGGGAGGCUGAGGCUCGUCGAGUGGCGCAGCCGUGGGAGCGACUGGGCUCCCGCGGGGGCUGGCCCCCGAAACAGUGACCCUCUGCAUGGGACGGUGACCCUCGCCGUCGUGACCCCUUACGGUAGUAGCCGAGAGGUCUGCAGGCCACCAUGCAUGUCAGGCAACUACUUUCCAUUGGGCUGCAUUUCCGCAGAGUGGCAGCUGCCGGAGUCCUGACGUUUCCUAUCGGAAAAGGAAAGGAAAUUUUUGUUAACUGAUUUUCAGGAAAGAAGCCCCCAAAGUCGAACAAAGGCCUGUGUGCCUUUGUGUCCUCACCAAUGUCACACGGCCCUGGCACCUAGCAAGGUACUCCAGUUCCCUUUCAACCAUUCCACAUUCUAUCCUUUCAAAAUAACUAGUCCUUUCAUUCCCCUUUUUAAAUAGAAAUGAGAUUAGUUUUCAUUAAUUAGAAGACUUCCCAAUUAAACCGUUUCUCGUGUUGCACACUUAUUCCUGAAACGAUUUUUUUGAAACUUAAGCUUAGCGUUGAAAAAAACACCUAAGGUUCGACACAGGGGAGGCCGAUACUGUGGGAGUGGGAGCCGCGGGGAGAAGCAGCUUCCUGUCCAGGCUCACACCAAGUUCCUUGUACCUGAGGCCAUCCGCGUGAGUGAGUUCAUCAGGAUCAUCAGAAGGGGCUGUCAGCUCAAUACUAAUCAAGCCUUCCCACCGUUGUGAAUCGAUGUAGCACGGUGGAAAAGAGCUCUGGACGUGGAGGAGGGAACACUAGGAAUGUAUUAACUGCUACUGAACCAUGUAGUUAACAAUGGUUAAGACGCCACGUUCCUCUCCGGAAUCUACUUUAUCGUCACAUCCUUAGCUCUUUGGCGAAGUUCAGAACAAACAAACAAAGGACAUUGAUGUGACACCGUUGUGCCAAAUCUGGCGAAAUCUCAGUGGCAGGGUUGGAGCAACGGUCGCUGCAACCGUCUACACCUUAUGCGGAGGCGGAAGUCCUCUCUGAAGGUCAGUGUCAAUGCCCAAGGAGAGAUGGGUAACGUGGCCAAACCUGUGAUCGCGCCUGCUGCGUGCUGUGAUCCCGUCCGACACAUUUAGUGGGGAUGAUACUCCGGUUCCUUCAGCUCAUUGGGAUUUACUGGCUUUUUACUACAAUAAAAGUGGCUGUGUCACUGUCGCUAGCCGAGAGCCCCUUUUGCUUUCUAAGGGUAAUGACUCCUUCUAGAUUUUCCACGUUUCACAUGGUCGCUCUUUGAAUUCUGAUUUUAUUUCCAUGCUAAACCGCUAAUGCACCUUGACGGGUUUCUUUCGCUCACUUCAGUUCACAGGCGGAGUAGUAGUUACAUAGCCCCUUUCGAGCAGGUUGACGAGACAGCCUGCGAGGACCCUCUCCCCGGUGGAGCUGUGGACACUCCCACAUUUACGGUUGGCGUGUUCGUGCGUGGAGCCCUCUUCCUCACGGGGGAUCAAAGCCGCGUGGCACUGCCUUGCAAUGUGCACGUGUCUGUGGACACCAGACCCAGUACUUCCCUCGGUGUCCGUCCGGGGUUACGCUUGUCUCCGUGAAAAAGGAGUCUCCAAGGCCAAGGGGCCAUGCCCAUCCACAUGCCCUCUCCUUUUCUAGAACCUGCUCCAGACGCCUGUGGCUGUAGAGCCCCACUUAACCAGUCUGGAGGCUGCUCCUGGGGCCCAUGAGGGCUGACCCUGACCGCUCACCUGAGGGUGGACGGCACAGUGAGUGGGCCCACUCCUAAAUUUUAGAGCUGGCUAAGGAAUUGGAGAAGCACAGGGGUGGCCCUGUUAAGCAGAGCCAACCGGGAAAGAAUGGACAGGUCCUGGACGUCAUUAUGGAGGCCACCAGGCGGGCAGAGCGCGUGGAGAUGGAAGGUGCAGCAGCGCCAGUGACAGCUGAGGACAGAGAUGCCAGGGCAAGACUGCACUCAAGAAAUCUAGGCCUCAGUUCGGUGUUGGAUUCUUAGCUGUGACACCAAAAGCACUAGUAACAAAGUGAAAAAAAAAUAGAAAGAUUGUACUUCACUAAAAUUAAAAACUUUUGUGCAUCAAAGGACAUUAUCAAGAGAAGGCAAGCUACAGAGGGGAGGAAAUGUUUGCAGAUCAUACAUCUGACACAGAUAGAUAAGGAACUCCUACAACUCAGUGACAAAAGGACAGACAACCUCAUUAAGAAGUGGACAAAGCACUUGGACAGAUGUUUCUCCAAAGAUUCACAGGUGGCUGGUAAGUACAUGGCAAGAUGCUCAACGUCAUCAGUGAAGCUGCUCAGGACAGCUGCUCCAAAAGAUGUCACUUCCGCAUAUUGGUCAUUUGCACCAAAGGCACUUGAAAAACAGCAGGUGCAAGAAAGGCUGUGACCCCCCCCAAUAAGGCUCUGACCCCCCAAACAAGGCUGUGACCUCCCCAAAACAAGGCUCUGACCCACCCAACAAGGCUAUGACCCCCCAACAAGGCUGUGACCCCCUAAACAAGGCUGUGACCCCCCAAUAAGGCUGUGACCCCCCAACAAGGCUCUGACCUC